GACGUAGGUGGCGAACGUUAUCCGGAAUCACUGGGCGUAAAGGGUGCGUAGGCGGGUCUUUAAGUCAGGGGUGAAAUCCUGGAGCUCAACUCCAGAACUGCCUUUGAUACUGAAGAUCUUGAGUUCGGGAGAGGUGAGUGGAACUGCGAGUGUAGAGGUGAAAUUCGUAGAUAUUCGCAAGAACACCAGUGGCGAAGGCGGCUCACUGGCCCGAUACUGACGCUGAUGCACGAAAGCGUGGGGAGCAAACAGG
rnacentral:rRNA from 1 species